UACGUAGGUGGCAAGCGCUAUCCGGAUUUAUUGGGUGUAAAGGGCGUGUAGGCGGGAGCGCAAGUCAGAUGUGAAAACUCAGGGCUCAACCCUGAGCCUGCAUUUGAAACUGUGUUUCUUGAGUGCUGGAGAGGCAAUCGGAAUUCCGUGUGUAGCGGUGAAAUGCGUAGAUAUACGGAGGAACACCAGUGGCGAAGGCGGAUUGCUGGACAGUAACUGACGCUGAGGCGCGAAAGCGUGGGGAGCAAACAGG
rnacentral:rRNA from 1 species